CGCUAUUACCAUAUUUCCGGGGCGGGAGAGCGGCCGGCUUUGUGUAGGGAAGGAUGCUGCCGGGUCCCUUUGGCAACUUCCUGGCUUCUCCGCCCCUCAGCGGCAUUGCACGUACCUCCUUCAGCUACUAUCUCUAGCUCUCCUCACACAAGAGCGGUGGAAAGGAUUAAUUUUCCUUCCCAAAUGUGGCGCUCAGUUUCUGUGGCCGCUAGGUGGCAGUAGUGUGCCGUGUCGCCUUUGGGAGGACCUCCGCCCCCGCCCUUCGUGCUUGAAAAAAGAGGCAGCAGCCGUCUUCUCGAAAAUGGGGCUUUCCGUUGCGCCUGCGCGAGGUAUUUUACCACCACGGGAGUGAGAAAAAAAGCAUCUUUCAUUGAAGGCGACUUGGCAUAGAGUUUGCUUUAAAUCAGUAAUUGCCCAAAUGGAUCCAAAUGAAAUGCAGGUAUCAAGUAGGCCUUGAAGGAACAGCAUUGUUCACAGAAAGAGAGCGAGUUGGAGACCAGUGCUUUCUCUUCUGUCCUGGAGCUGGGCUGUUGCCAGAGCUGAGUGACCCAGUGGGGAGCAGCAGAGGAGUGUUGCCAGACAAUGCACUCCCACACCCCCUCCAGCACACAGGCCCUUCUCCUCCCUCUCCCUGCUUGCUGGGAUCUCCCCUGAGGAUGGGAAUGUGCUCUGGCUAGCAGGGAAGGGAUAGAUGUGUGGUAGAGGAUGCAGGGAGACAGGUGGGAUCUUAGGAUGUCUGCAGAAGGGACUGGGGGAGGGACCAGAGUCCCACAGAAGGCACUCUGUACAGCACUGAGGUCCCAGGAGAUGAUGAAGGCUCUGAAAGUAGAGUGGCCCUAAAUGUGGUUCUGUGAUUUUUCUCCAGCACUGCACAGUGCUACACCAUUUUCGGAAGCUAAGCUUCCUGGCUCAGGCUCUGGAAAACCGGGCCUGUGUUGUCAGGGGAGAAAGAGCCUGGCAUCGCCCUGGAGGCAAUGACAGCCUUGAGAAGGCCCUGCUCCCCCCAGCGACAG